rnacentral:rRNA from 1 species
UACGUAGGGUGCGAGCGUUGCCCGGAUUUAUUGGGCGUAAAGGGCGCGUAGGCGGCCAUCUAAGUCAGACGUGAAAUCCCCCGGCUUAACCUGGGAACUGCGUCUGAUACUGGAAGGCUUGAGUAUGGGAGAGGGAUGUAGAAUUCCAGGUGUAGCGGUGAAAUGCGUAGAUAUCUGGAGGAAUACCGGUGGCGAAGGCGGCAUCCUGGACCAUUACUGACGCUGAGGCGCGAAAGCUAGGGGAGCAAACGGG